GGCCUUGAACGCUGCGAUUAAUUAUUGCUGUUAAGCAGAACAUCAGACAACCGGAUUCUUUAUUAUCUUUCGCCCUCACACUGUGUUAUCCAUAUGUCUGUAUCACACAGUGGUUCACAAAAUUUUGGAUCAAAACAAUUUAAAACUUGUUUUUAACAUCAAUUUAACCACCACCAAGUGAAGAAUUCAUGUGUAACCAAGUAAAUGGAAAUUAAAUUGGCUGAAAAGAUCCAUUAGAAUAUUUACGUUUAUUUUAGAAUUAUUUGCAAAUUGAUAUUUUGUACAAAUUACUCGAAGUUCGAUAAGUUUACAAAAAGUGGAAUUUUGGAAAAUGUAUCUUUCUUUCGUUAUUAUUACUGUCAGUGCGAUCUAUGAACUCUUAUCGGGGAAAGACUUUUCUGGUUUGUUGAUAUGCAAUCGGAGAAGGUCAGAGGCUCAGGCCUGAUCUUGAAGUCUUUAUUGGCAGAGAGAUAGUCUCUCAGAGAAUAGCCAAUGGUUGUUAGCAGCUCAAAAUAAAAAUAUGACAAAACAUUGCUAAAAAAUAAUUACAAUUUUUCGCUAUACUAAUGUAAGUUUUUUACCGUUUUAACCAAUAAAUGGUGCUAUAAUUUGGA